rnacentral:rRNA from 1 species
CUAUAGACUACACGGUAAAUAUUUUAGUUGGAUAACUGAGGUAAUUCUUGAGCUAAUACACGCUAUUUAUACCACAUUAGUGGUGCGUUUAUUUGAUUAAACCAUUUUAUAUUGGUUGACUCAAAAUAUCCUCGCUGAUUUUGUUACUAAAACAUACCGUAUGUGUAUCUGGUUUAUCAACUUUCGAUGGUAGGGUAUUGGCCUACCAUGGUUGUGACGGAUAACGGAGAAUUAGGGUUCGACUCCGGAGAGGGAGCCUGAGAAACGGCUACCACAUCCAAGGAAGGCAGCAGGCGCGAAAAUUACCCAAUUUUAGUUAAAAGAGGUAGUGACGAAAAAUGACAACCAAAUAUUAUUAUUAAUAUUUGGAUUGAAAAUCUUCAAGUAUAAAUAA